rnacentral:rRNA from 1 species
UACGGAGGGAGCUAGCGUUGUUCGGAAUUACUGGGCGUAAAGCGCACGUAGGCGGCUUUGUAAGUUAGAGGUGAAAGCCCGGGGCUCAACCCCGGAAUUGCCUUUAAGACUGCAUCGCUUGAAUCCGGGAGAGGUGAGUGGAAUUCCGAGUGUAGAGGUGAAAUUCGUAAGAUAUUCGGAAGAACACCAGUGGCGAAGGCGGCUCACUGGACCGGCAUUGACGCUGAGGUGACGAAAGCGUGGGGAGCAAACAGG